rnacentral:lncRNA from 1 species
UGUUUUUGUAAUUUCUAUACGUGAAUAUUAGCAUAGAUAUGCCAAUAUAGCUCAUGUGACGCAUUUGGCAGUGACUUGUGCUGUGUAAAGCGGCUGCUGGACUCUCUUAUUCCCUGUCCUGUUGUCAAAUGGAACAAUGCCUCUGUCAAUGACUCGUUUUUGGGAUGCUGAAAGAUCUGGUCAACCAUGUUGUUCCAAGGAAAUCUGUGUAAUCCAAGCAAACGUAGACCUUGCCUAGAUAUGUGCUGCAAUAUUUGUGAAUCCAACGUCGCUUGACCUAAAUGCAUUCUCAGAUGGAAUGUUUGGAGUUGCCAUCAGAUAUUCAACUCAAAAAGUGGAUCGCGUCUCUUCACCAGAUUCCCAUCAGCCCCAUCCCACCAGUGAAAAAGUCUCUGGCUUCACAAUCGUGCCUUGUUCAUG